rnacentral:rRNA from 1 species
UACGAAGGGGGCUAGCGUUGUUCGGAUUUACUGGCGUAAAGCGCACGUAGGCGGAUCGUUAAGUCAGGGGUGAAAUCCUGGAGCUCAACUCCAGAACUGCCUUCGAUACUGGCGAUCUUGAGUCCGGAAGAGGUGAGUGGAACUCCUAGUGUAGAGGUGGAAUUCGUAGAUAUUAGGAAGAACACCAGUGGCGAAGGCGGCUGCACUCGGUCCGGUACUGACGCUGAGGUGCGAAAGCGAGGGGAGCAAACAGG